AGCCCAUAUAAAUAGAGGUGGAGGCGUAUGGACUUCCUCUUCUCCUGUCGUCUCGUCUCUUCAGGGCGAAGCUUGAGGAGGUGGAGAUGGACUUUGAGCAGAGCUGCACAUCAUCUGUGGUGGCCGGCCUUGCCCAGCCUCUGCCGUUGAGCACUCGUGCAGGUUUUGGAUGAUGCAGUAGACUGCAGAAAUGAAAGCGCUACCUACAGGUGAUGGACUGAGCCACUUUGAUGCUGCAGGAGCCUGAAGGAGGAAUCCGGCUCCAGAGGUCCAGGCGGAUGCUGCACAGAUGCAGGUGUUGAGGAUCUUUCGAAGGUCCUGCCUCCAGCCCAAGGGUGAGGUGGAGAUGCAAACUACCAGAAUCUCAUCCUAAAAGCCUCUAAUGGUUUGGUUCUAUCAGCUUGAAUGCCUGUAUGAGGCAGUCUGUGAAGGGUUUAAAUUCCAGACAUCCACCCCUGCUCCAAUGUUUUAUAAACUUGUUUGUAAUAAACAACAAACUCAGAAUGUG